AUUGAACGCUGGCGGCAGGCUUAACACAUGCAAGUCGAGCGAGCGGCGGACGGGUGAGUAAUGUCUGGGCAACUGCCCGAUGGAGGGGGAUAACUACUGGAAACGGUAUCUAAUACCGCAUACCAUCUGAUUUGCCCAGAGGGGAUUAGCUAGUGGGUGGGGUAAUGGCUCACCUAGGCGACGAUCCCUAGCUGGUCUGAGAGGCUGACCAGCCACCCUGGAACUGAGAAACGGUCCAGACCCCUACGGGAGGCAGCAGUGGGGAAUAUUGCACAAGGGGCGCAAGCCUGAUGCAGCCAUGCCGGGUGUGUGAAGAAGGCCUUCGGGUUGUAAAGCACUUUCAGCGAGGAGGCGGUACUCGCAGAAGAAGCACCGGCUAACUCCGUGCCAGCAGCCGCGGUAAUUC
rnacentral:rRNA from 1 species